AACGAACGCUGGCGGCAGGCCUAACACAUGCAAGUCGAACGCCCUAGCAAUAGGGAGUGGCAGACGGGUGAGUAACGCGUGGGAACCUUCCCAUUGGUACGGAAUAGCCCAGGGAAACUUGGAAUAAUACCGUAUAAGCCCGAAAGGGGAAAGAUUUAUCGCCGAUGGAUGGGCCCGCGUAGGAUUAGCUAGUUGGUGAGGUAAUGGCUCACCAAGGCGACGAUCCUUAGCUGGUCUGAGAGGACGAUCAGCCACACUGGGACUGAGACACGGCCCAGACUCCUACGGGAGGCAGCAGUGGGGAAUAUUGGACAAUGGGCGCAAGCCUGAUCCAGCCAUGCCGCGUGAGUGACGAAGGCCUUAGGGUUGUAAAGCUCUUUUGGCGGGGACGAUAAUGACGGUACCCGCAGAAUAAGCCCCGGCUAACUUCGUGCCAGCAGCCGCGGUAA
rnacentral:rRNA from 1 species